rnacentral:rRNA from 1 species
GACGAACGCUGGCGGCGUGCUUAACACAUGCAAGUCGAACGGAAAGGCCCUGCUUGCAGGGUACUCGAGUGGCGAACGGGUGAGUAACACGUGGGUGAUCUGCCCUGCACUUCGGGAUAAGCUUGGGAAACUGGGUCUAAUACCGGAUAGGAGCCAUCUUUAGUGUGGUGGUUGGAAAGUUUUUUCGGUGUAGGAUGAGCUCGCGGCCUAUCAGCUUGUUGGUGGGGUAAUGGCCUACCAAGGCGGCGACGGGUAGCCGGCCUGAGAGGGUGUACGGCCACAUUGGGACUGAGAUACGGCCCAGACUCCUACGGAAGGCAGCAGUGGGGAAUAUUGCACAAUGGGCGCAAGCCUGAUGCAGCGACGCCGCGUGGGGGAUGAAGGCCUUCGGGUUGUAAACUCCUUUCGCUAGGGACGAAGCUUUGUUGUGACGGUACCUAGAUAAGAAGCACCGGCUAACUACGUG